AAAAUACGACUCUCGGCAACGGAUAUCUCGGCUCUCGCAUCGAUGAAGAACGUAGCGAAAUGCGAUACUUGGUGUGAAUUGCAGAAUCCCGUGAACCAUCGAGUCUUUGAACGCAAGUUGCGCCCGAAGCCGUCAGGCCGAGGGCACGUCUGCCUGGGCGUCACGCAUCGCGU
rnacentral:rRNA from 1 species